rnacentral:rRNA from 1 species
AGUGGACGCUGGCGGUAGGCCUAACACAUGCAAGUCGAACGGCAGCACAGUAAGAGCUUGCUCUUACGGGUGGCGAGUGGCGGACGGGUGAGGAAUACAUCGGAAUCUACUUUUUCGUGGGGGAUAACGUAGGGAAACUUACGCUAAUACCGCAUACGACCUCCGGGUGAAAGCAGGGGAUCUUCGGACCUUGCGCGAUUGAAUGAGCCGAUGUCGGAUUAGCUAGUUGGCGGGGUAAAGGCCCACCAAGGCGACGAUCCGUAGCUGGUCUGAGAGGAUGAUCCGCCACACUGGAACUGAGACACGGUACAGACUCCUACGGGAGGCAGCAGUGGGGAAUAUUGGACAAUGGGCGCAAGCCUGAUCCAGCCAUACCGCGUGGGUGAAGAAGGCCUUCGGGUUGUAAAGCCCUUUUGUUGGGAAAGAAAAGCAGCAGGUUAAUACCCCGCUGUUCUGACGGUACCCAAAGAAUAAGCACCGGCUAACUUCGU